CCGGGGCGGAAGUGCUCCUGCCGCCUGCUCCAGAGAGCUCCGCCAUGACAGUUACUGAGGCGGAAGUGCUCCUGCCGCGCGCUUCAGGGAGCUCGCCAUGACAGCUGCCGAGGCAGGACGUCCUCGGUCGUUGAAGCGGGCAGGGAGUCGUUGGGGAGGCCUGAGAGGGGCGGCCCUAUCCUCAGAGGAAGAGCUGACCUGUUUCUAAUAUCUUUUCCGCAUAUUAUCGUAUUUUUCCAGCGUAUUAGUUCCUGGCGCAACCUAAGAGAUAGAGCCUGGGGAGGAGCACUAGGGAAAGGGGUGUUGCUGUUGCUGUGUGUGGAAGGAGGCCCGGGUUUCCCUGUGCCAUGACAGGCAGGGCGCAGGCUGGCCCUGUAACAAACUAGCCUGCCCCAGCAGUCCCGUGCUGGCGCUGCCCCUUUGCCACUGUGGGGCAUUGCAGCAUGUGAGUUGGCUGCCUGGAGAUCUGCAGGCCACGUCCUGGUAGAUGCUGCCCUUUUCUUAGGAAAGGGGUGGGGACUCGGUUUUGCUCAGCACUCAGGUGCUCCCUCCCCUCUCCUCAGGCCCGGUCAGGCCUCAUCUGGGUGCUGUGUCCAGGCCUGGGCUCCCCAAUGCUGGAGAGACGCGGAGGUGCUGGAGCGAGUCCAGUGGAGGGCCACAAAUUCAGUGAAGGGCCUGGAGCAUCUGACACAGGAGGAGAAGCUGAGACAGAUUUGCUGAACACUUAAAACUUCGGAUGAGAUAGAUUGUAUCUGUUAGGUGUUCAUUAGAGAUGACGCUCCAUGUUUCUCAGCAUGAAAAAUCGAAAGUGGAGACAUCAGCAUUUUGAGUGUAACUGACUUUUGGAUCAAAGUUACAUGACAAGACAAGGAAGAAGCUUGCAAUAGAAUCCUGGCACCGAAAAGUGAAAAAAAAUCAUAGUCCCAGUUUGAGGAUAUGAACAUUGCAGGAAGCCUAAAUGACUGCUUGAAGUGGUUCUUACUAUUGCAUUGAUGAGGAAAUGAUCUGGAAUUAUUCUUGGAUUGGGGGUGCGGAAAUGAGUGCCAGUCAGUAAUGAGCCGAGAGGAUGACGAACACUUACGAACAGAAUGAUACAGUAAUGUCAAUCAUGUAUGGCUGUAGUAAGCAUCAUCCCAGUUUCCUGAGGGAAGACUAGCAACAAUCCACAGA